AAAGAUGGCUGUGGCUGUGGAUUGGGCCCCAUCCCUGCCCCCCACGGCAACGGGCUGCUGUGUCAUUCCCGGGGAGUUAUGGCAUCACUGCUGCGAUGGGUGUAAAAACCUCAGCAAGUACAUAUAUGGUAGAAAAGACGACUCCUGCACCCCCCAGGACUGCAACUAACAGCUGCUUUUGCAGGGCUCCUUGUGACCAUAAAAGGUGGGUUAUACCUAAUGCCUGGCACUGGGAGAUGGAAAAUGCUGAGCUGCGGGAUGUCCCCGGCGGUUGGUGGACCACAGUUUGCCCUCCAUACAGGUGGGUUUCCCUGUGCAGUGCUGUCGUGGACCUCAGACUCCACAGCAGAUACAAGACAACUGAAAUUAGUUUAGC